rnacentral:rRNA from 1 species
AUACGAGGGGUGCAAGCGUUAAUCGGAAUUACUGGGCGUAAAGCGUUCGUAGGCGGUUUGUUAAGCAAGAUGUGAAAGCCCUGGGCUCAACCUGGGAACUGCAUUUUGAACUGGCAAGCUAGAAUACUGUAGAGGGUGGUGGAAUUUCCAGUGUAGCGGUGAAAUGCGUAGAGAUUGGAAGGAACAUCAGUGGCGAAGGCGGCCACCUGGACAGAUAUUGACGCUGAGGAACGAAAGCGUGGGGAGCGAACAGGAUUAGAAACCCGAGUAGUCC